UAUGAGUCUCUGCCAGAGGUGAACAGUCAGAAACAAAAAGGAGGGGAGCAGUCAAAUGCUCUUUGGUGCGGCGAGACCUCAAGUGAACAAGGAAGACAGCAACUGGCACGAGCUUUGGAAGUGUCUGCUAUGAAAGCAUUGUUCCCCAGGAGGAAGAGGAUGAGGACUUCUGCGAUGUCUCCCGUGACACGUAGCACCAGAAGAAGCCCUGUCAGUUUGCUAAAGGUUCGUGAGAGAUCAUCAGGUGGGAGAGAACUGGAAUAACUGACCCUUUGAUACAGAAAACCUCUUGCACUUCAUGGAUCGCCCAUGCAGUUGUUGCCGCUUUGAGGAUCUCUUCAUUAACCUCUUGGAUGUUCACAGGCAGGCUCAAACGACCAGUUUCUGUCGCCUGGGAUUUUGGCCCCUUCCUUUGCAGCUUAAAAUUAAGCCGAUGAAAGGGGAUUGAGCAGAAUCCAAGCUGCACGUGCCCCCAUCUUAAUGAAAUACAGAGAGAAAUCUCCUGACAGAUUCUGACAACAGGAGCUGCAGCAGCAAGAAAACAAGGAGCCACGGCAGUGAGAAAACAAACACACACUGUCUGGGACUUCAGGGGGUUUGUAUGUUCAGCCAAUUGAGAUUUAUCAGCCCUCUUUUCACUAUAAUUCACAGAGACAUGGGAAUGUUUUAGUUCCACCAGCACUGCUAGGCAGUGAAUGAUGCUGUGACGGCGGGAGCUGGGGCAGUUCCUGCUCGUAGCUGUGACUACACGAGCGAAGGGUGAAGCAGCUUGUCUGCACUCUGCCAGAGCCUGCAAUUAAGCCUCUCAAGCCUCUUUCAAUGAUAGCAAGGCACAGGUCCAGCGAGAGGUCUCUCCCUUUCGCUACCCUAAUUUACGCUUGCUGCUGAUCACUUUAAUGUCCCCUACUCGAGCAUUUCACUCGGCAGAAGAAAGGUCAACAAGGGAGAGCAGAGUUCUUGGCUUGCUCGUCUGCAAUGCCAGGCUCUGUAGGAGGUGUCCGACACUUGUGGGACUCCACGGUGUCUGCUGAAGGAUGUCAGUAUUUGUAAGCUGCGGCAGAGCCUCCUGUCCACGGUAGAACGUGGACAGCAAGUGACACAGAGGGACCCAGACUUCAUAAAGUCUUUUUCAGACCCCAUGAAGAUGACUGAUUUUUUUCCCAGGCUGUGCUUGAAGGGUUGGUGGGGUUGGAGUUGUUUUUUUAAGAGUCUUAAUCAGCAGGAAAGGGGGCCAGGAAUACAUCUGGGCUGAAAAAAAGCCUCCAAAUCCCAUAUCCAAUUGACAUUGCAGAAAGAAUGAAGGUUGGCAGAACAUGAUUAUCUACAUUGGAGUCCUGCCAGGACCCUGGGGCUCACCCAUAAAGUGCCAUUGGACAUUUGAUGGCUAUAUUGGGUCCUACCAAUCUGGUUAACGUAUCCCUUGAAAGGCUGGACUCGCUGGGGCAGGAAAGCCCCUUGGCUUCCUGCGGGAGCUAAGCCUCUGCAGUAGCACCUACCAAAUCUUUCCUAGCCACAGCCUGCAGCACCUGAAUUUUGUCUGGCAACCCCCAUCCAGGUUCUGCCAGCUGAGAACCUGCUUCUUUCGCGUCUGGGAUCUGGCAGGAUCGCAUUCCUGAGGCGAUACGUCUGCAGGCUCCGCUCGCAGCUUUAUUGCUGCUAUGGUAGGUGACUGCAUCUUUGAUCCGCUUCUCCCCCGUCUCCUCCCACGUGAACACUCCCCCAGAGCCAGCAGCAGGGAGGGAAUGCGAGAUACGCACGUUCUCUUGUGCUUAAGGAUUUUGCUGGUGCAGUUCCCCAAAUCCCUUCACUUUUGGCCACGUCUCGACACGUCAGCCCAGCAUGGCAAAGUAGAGCAGCUUGCGUUUGCCAGUGCGUGAAGAGGAGCGUCCUGGAUGCUGUGACUGUGUAACAAGCCCUGCCUUGUUCCAUCCUGGUGUGAUCACCAGGGCUUCUCCGGCUGCCCUGGCAUCGCGUGGGAGGGAUGUCAUUACGGGCUCUGCCCAGCCGCUGUCAGCAGAUGUGCUCCCGCUAGCAAAGGCGUGAUCGGAUGUCUGUGUGUCACCACUUUGUCCCAGUGGCCAGAACACACCAGAAAAGUUCUUUCUUCUCAUUCAUUGGUAUAAAUAUUUCAUGUGACCCGGGAAGGUCCCAGUGGGGGCUGUGCCGUGCACUCUGAACAUGGGCCACGUGAAUGGAAGCGGUGUAUUAAUUAUUAUGAAACAGCUCUGAGAAAUGAAUGCAGGUUGCCAUGGAAGCGCAAGCAGCGACAAUGUCACCUCAUUUUUAAGAUGCUUUCAAUGUUCCAAAUACAAUUUCCCUCCUCUUUCAAAAUGGACAAUGGCAAAAUAACUCCGUGCAGAUAGAGAAGCUAAAACGCUGAGAACCAAUGUUUUGGCUAACUGUCAUCCACCGAGCCCGUCUGCAGAAGCCAAAAUAAACCAAAGCUCCCCAAACGCCAGAGCAGCGUGCUAACCACGAGGUAACACCACUUCUGUCCUCUCCUCCCUAUAAAAUUUGAUCAAAUUAGUCUCAUUUCUCCUUCUGAUUCUUCUUGAAGUGGUGGCGCUACAUUCAACGGACUCCCAAGUGAUUCCCCAACCUCCCUCAUGUCUUCGUGCCUGUGCUCUGUGAAAGAACAUCACUUGAUGGCCAAGAGGUAACGCAGCACUAGCGGAGCCACAGCAGCUGGAGGGAGAUUUAAUGCUCCUUUGCUAGGAAUGAGCAGCGGGGGCUGCAGCGGUUUAGUCCUCAUGGCAAACUUGCUGAAGCUGAGAGCAUCCUUGAGGACAAAGGGCUGCCCUCACCGCCACAAUGCCCUCAAUUUCUGCUUGUUCCUACCAUAGACCAAACACAGAUUUCUCACUGGGCUGGAGGAGAGGGAAAACAUCUCUUUUCAUGCCCUGCACAGCAGCUGAGGAUGUUUCUUCUAAGCUGACACCCUCCACCCUCCUCCUGGAAGCUGCGUGCAGAGCGCUGUUCCUGAAACUCCACCUGAUGCAAGAGGAGCCCCACGCUUCUUAGCACAGCUUCUCCAGCAACUGGAGAAAACGAACAAUGACAAAAGGUGCCCUUAAGGCUAUUUGCUUCCCAGAGGAAUGCACUCACGGGCUCUGCGCAGCGCACUGACGUUAAUAAAAGGAUGUACGCGGGGGAGCGCUUGUCAGCCCUAAGUGAAAUUGAUAAAAAGAUGUUUUAUGCAACAGGCUGUAUUUAAAUCGAAGGAACAAUUUAAGCUGCUUUGUGGGCAACAGCAUCUCUUUGAUUGAGAAGCCGUGUUUUAAAUGUGGAAUUAGUGAAAGCGGGCGUGUUGGUGACCUUGUUUUCUGGGAAGGCACUUUUAAGUGUGUUGGUGAGCAAGGGGAACUGAGGCACAGUAGAGUGAAUUUAACCCUUCGGUGGUUUUCAUCUGAUGAAGGACAAGCCCUUCAUCACUUUUCUGGCUUGUCAGAAGUUCGUGUUUGGUUCAUGACCACAGUGGUAAUUGCACUCAGCUGGGAGCCCCGGCUUUGAGAAGUGCAAAUGCCCAGCUGCAGGCUUUUAAAGGGCUGACAGAGGAGGAGCAGCUACGCCAGCCCAGAUCUGAAAUCCUCUCUUGGUUAAUUGCCUUCUGCCUGUGCACGAUUGGCCUCUGUUUUAGAUGACUAUCACAUUCAUUAUCUUUCCCUUUCGGAGCUGUCAUCCAACGUUACUCUUCUCUGCCGCACUCCACCCCAGAUCUGGCUCCUUUUCAGUGCUCCCUUGAUGCAGUUUGGCAUCUCUCUGGGCAAGAAGUGCUGCUGCUGCCACCUUCUCCUAUCAGUAUCCCUUUCUUGAAGUGUCCUUCUGCCUUGGUGCUCAAUACUAUCAACUCAGAAAUUAGCAUUGCAUGGUAAUUGAAUUGUCAAAAGGAUCUUGCAUCGGAGCUGAGCGAGUUGGCAGGGUUACUGCUGUCUCCUUUGGUCUUCUGUCAUCUUUUUAACGUGUUUUCUUCGUCGCUUUAUCAUUUAUUAGUCAUGAUUGCACCUAAGGAUUUGAUUGGGAGCAGUUUGGGGCAGGUUCUGUCUCUCCUUACUCCUUCUGCAGCAUGCUUGCAGGGCUGCAGGCGGCUACUAACUCCUGUCAAGGGCUGCUCUUUGGUCCCUACCCCACCCCUGGCUUGCAGCGUCUCCCUUCCUUCAAGCUGUGUGCUAACCCUCUGAAGUUACCGAGGAUUCCAGAGGAGCUUCAAGUGACAGCAGAUGUACAGGGGAUUGUGCUGCUCAGCCAGGUAGAACCAGCUGCUAAACCCACGAUCGAUAAGCGCUGGUAAGCAGCUGAAGUGGCUGCUAAAAAGGGUUUGAACAAGCUCUUGCUCCCUGCCCGCACUCCUCUUGGGAGCUGCCCCAUCUUCUUCUGGCUAAUUCCACGCAUCCUGGGACUAUGGACACUGGGCUGCGUGCCCUGGUCCUGCUUUUAGCACAUGCAAUGAGAGAGGAGCACCUCUGUGCCUCUGCCAGGACGAGUCUCCCAGCUCCUCCAGGUAGCACAGGAGCAGGCACAAGCCUCCAAGGUAGUGGGGGAAAAGCUCAGCGCUUGACACAGCUGCUUUGUGGCAGUCAAAUCCAAAACAACUUCUCUGCCACUGCAACUCGUCCUGUUGGCCAUGAAUUUUGGGUUUCCCUUUUGGCAGCAUCAUCAGAGAACGUGCAGACGAAAAGCUGCACAGCAGAGGAGCGGGGCUGGAGCAGGAAGAAACGCCACACAGCGGAUUUGCCGUGCCCCCACUGAACGUGCUCUCGUCUCGUUUCGCUGCCACUUCCUACAAGAUUAAUGCAGAGAGCAUGC